AACUGUAUUUUUUUACCAUUUUAUGAGCAGCUGAUGUUUUUUGCAUCAUCUUUAAUCUUCCUUCCAUUAAAUAUAUGACAUGACGACUAAGUAUCUUGCACUGUUGCUUACCUUCCAACUUUCAAAAAGGCCAAAGAGGGACAUAACUAAUUUAUUUGACAGUAAAUCAUGCAUUUAACUCUGCCCAUUGCCUAUCUAUACACAGUCCCUAUUUUACCCCCACACAGUGGUUAUGUCCCCUUACUACCACACAUAGUAGUUAUCCCCUUAGUGCACCCACACAGAAGAUAUGCCACCUUAGUGUCCCAUACGGUAGUUAUGCCCCAUAGUUCCCCAUACAGAGUAGAAUGCCCUUUGUGCCCCACACAGAGUACAAUGCCCUUUUAUGCCCCCUCACCCAACAGUAGAAUGCUCUGACACAUAGCAGAAUGCCUCUGUGUAACCUUAAGCCUUUGUGCCCCCCACAGAGUAGAAUGUCCCAUUGUGACCCCACAUACAACAGAAUGCCUCACUGUGCCCCCAUACAGUGUACAAUUUACCAUUGUGCCCCUACACACAGUAGAAUGUCCCACUGUGCCCCCUCAUACAGUAGAAUGCCCCAUUAUACCCCUACAUUCAGCAGAAUUCCCCAUUGUGCCCCCACAAAGAGUACAAUGUCCCAUUGUGCCCCCCACACAGCAAAAUUCCCAUUUGUGCCCCCACACAUAGUAGAAUUCCCCCCUGACAAUAGAGAAGCUGUUCUGUUAGUAAUGGUACUCAUCCUGCUCUACCCAGCAGCAGGCGCAAUAAAGGGACAUCAUCAUCGCCCUCUGGGCUAAGCACAAAAUCCUACAGGCCAGGAGAUAGUGCCUGUUGUCUCAUACAUAAAUUGAACUUGCAACUAUUUAGCAUAAGAUUAAUUAUGUAGAUUCUUGUCAUGUAACUGCAUUGUUACUGUUUUGCUCAGGGUGGUGGAAAAAUCUUUUUCUUCUUAUAUAUUACAAAUUACAACCUGUUCUCAUAUUCCCUAAUAGCUCAGUGUAUUAUAAGGUUGAUUCCCAAGCGAAAUGUCUACUGGUUAAAAUCCAGGAGCAGCUUUUAAGAAGAUUUCCCAGGAAAAACAGAAACAGCCUUAUCCAGCUCAUUGAUAGUGGUAUCUCGGCCAAGAAAAUUGCCUAUCUGCAUCAUAUGAGUGCCAUAAGAGUUGGAAAAAUAUGAAAUGAAGUCUGUUCAUCCAUUCCAAAGCCAAUAGGUGGACGUCCAGGUAAAGUAUUGGAGUCAACAAGUCGGCUCCUUACAAGGUCUAUCAGUUCUGGCACGACAAACACGUCAGUGGAGGUGGCUCGUAUGAUUCAUAAUAGUGAGAUCAUAGACGUCCAUGUAAGCACCGUGCAACAUGCAUUACGUAAGUCUGGAAUGGUGCCCGAAAAAAGGUGAAGAAGCCUUGACGGGUGAUUUGGAGUGCUGUGACGAAAGUCAAUAUACUUGCCUCUGAUGGGUGCAAAUGGUUCAAAUAGUUCCCCCCUUCCCUGCCAUACUGAUAUUCUUCUGCUCAAUAAUGCUCUGCAGUCAUGGUCCUGGGCUGGCUUGAAACACAGCAAAAGGCUGGAAAUGCU